CUUCAAAGAGAGAGGAGCCCAUAAUGCAACUGCGAAAAACUUCAGUCCGCAGAUACGUGUAUGUGUGGUCAUCUCCCUCAUCGGACACUUGGUGCAGCGCGAGCACAGGGAUUUUGUUCGUUUAUCUCCGCUUUGCGAGCACUCAAGCCAGUGCCUCACAUG
rnacentral:lncRNA from 1 species